GGCAGUGAGUAUUUGCAAGAAACUCCCUCAUUGGCUUUCCCAGGUGAAAUGGUAUGAUCAUCUCACUGUGUGUCCCAGACUGGCUUCAAACUCUGUCUCCCUGGUGCAUCCUCCAGGGGGUUGGAUUGUGUAUGUGUCCAGCAUCUCAGGAUAUGUCCAUUCUAAUGAGGAAGGUGAUCAGACAGAGUUUCCCUAUUCCAUGGUUGUUAAGAAGCACCAUGAUCAAGGCAGCUUUU
rnacentral:lncRNA from 1 species